UACGUAGGGUGCGAGCGUUAAUCGGAAUUACUGGGCGUAAAGCGUGCGCAGGCGGUGAUGUAAGACAGGUGUGAAAUCCCCGGGCUUAACCUGGGAAUGGCAUUUGGGACUGCAAGGCUUGAGUGCGGCAGAGGAGACUGGAAUUCCCGGUGUAGCAGUGAAAUGCGUAGAUAUCGGGAGGAAUACCGAUGGCGAAGGCAGGUCUCUGGGCUGACACUGACGCUCAUGCACGAAAGCGUGGGGAGCAAACAGG
rnacentral:rRNA from 1 species